CUUUCUUUAUUUUGGCCGCACCUGCCCAUGGCCCAACUAGGCCAUCUACCUGGUCGUCAUCCUCGUGCGUUCAUGUACAGAGUAGAGUACGUACGUUACAGCCAUGGCUGAUGUUACCUUCCACUUUAUUUCCCUGUCAAUUGUGUGAGCGUUUCCUCUCGAUUUCAAUACGAAAUUUACUCCAAAUUAAAUGGACGUCUCAUUCAGGGAAUUUAUUUCCCCCACAAGUGUCACAAUCUCUCAAAUCGACCGCGUGAACCGAACGCCACCCGUCGGCAUACACCUCCCGAUCUCACUCCUCAGACCAUAUCCAUGCGAACUAAGAGGAGCAUCAUGUGUCUCUCAUUCAUCUCCAUCUUUUUCGUACUCAAACUAUUCCAAGAGAGCCUAUGUACAACUCAUACCAUCCAUGCCAAGAUCAGCCCCAAAUAUGAGUUCCUCGCCGGAUCAUGUCACCCUCGGCGAUCACCACGUCAAUUCCUUCCACCAGAUGACACUUCUUGACGUCGCCUACAUAGAGGACAUGGUGAUGCAUCUUAUAGUCGCUGGUGCCGCGUCGCCGCUGUUCCGCCGGCCACGGUGACGAUGUCACCGUUUUCAUCGGAUAGCAAGCCAGAGGUUCUUCCACGACGACGACCAAGUUGAUUUCCGUACCGUCCGUACCCCAUCGCCGCUGACUUUCGCCAGUCAUCUGAAGCUUACCUGAGCGCAUAAAGGAAGAAGUAUACCCUGCCAAGCCGAGAGGAGUAUGAACUCUGAAACCGCGCCCUGCAUGUCACGAACGUCGCCAAAGAGCUAACCAAUCGCCGCGCCCUUGUCCGUGCGAGUCUGCGACUAGCUGAUUCUAGUACAGUAUGUAUUCCCGUAUGUUUUUUUUUUUUUUUUUUGCACAUAAAAAGGGGUCAGAAGACCCCUGUGGAGCUUCUAUUCAGAAACACGUGGCAGGUACAUAUUACAGGAAAGACCCUUGACAUCUCUUGCCCUAUAAAACCUAGAAUUUGAGGAAAGGUCCUUCCAAUUUACAGUAUGUAUUCCCGUAUGUGAACAGUUCGUAUGGAGAGCGACAUCUUUUGUUGAAAGAAAAGAGAACACUCUUCAACUACCAAAAAGGCAAGUGACACACCCUCACAAAGGUCCUACAAUUUAUUCAUGCACCGUAGUGAUUUUUGUAGUAAGUCUAGGGAUAUGCUUUGCUUUUGUAAUCCCAGUAGAUAGCUACUUCCACCUGACCAUAUUUUUGUCGCCAUUGAAUUUAGUUGAUGCUUAGCUAUGCUAUGAAAAUAUUUUAGUAGUGGUUAUGGAAAAACAACUAAAUUCAAUGAACUACCUGGGUGGAAUGUGGCUUUGCUUGGUUUAUGUUGAGUGGUUGCAACGGGGUCAUGUCUAUGAACCGCCGUGUGCAUCGCACUUGUGGACGGCCGCCCAGGAACAAAGAGAUAUUAGACAACCUUGCUCAUUAGCUUACCGUGCAGCCACAUGCUAUAUGGGCUCUGGCUUGACGGAGUAUGUUGUGUGAACCUGGGCCCUACGCGACAUGAUGAUGUAGGGGAAUGUAGGUUGGAGCGGGUCCGUAGAGGAUGGUCUGGGUGAUCACUUCGGAAAAGUCUUGUCCUAGUCGACAUCUGUCCAUUUGAGCAAAAUGUGCAUCAUGGAAGAAGAACAGACUAGGUCAUGUGGGUAAAUUGUACAACCUCUGCAGAAUGUUAAAUCUAAGUACUUAGCCGUGUCCCCGGUUACGGACAAUUUGAGCGAACUGACAAGGAUCCUGUUCGAAAGUCUCCUCAUCCCAACUUCUUAAAUUAAAAUUUGAUGGGUGAAUAAGGGUAGGAGGAAUUCACUGGUUUUCAUCAGUGGUAUUCCAGGUUCAUUGAUUUCUAUCAUUGGAACCACCUAAUUAGAAGGGAAGAAAAUGAUUUGACAAUUGAUAGGAGAAAACUGGCUUUAUGCAAAUCAUACCUGAGCUCUACCAGCCAAAUGUACACUUAAGUGCUAGGUUGCCAUUUGAGUCCACCAUAGUGUCAUCUUGCCAUUACAUUCAAAGUAUUGACCAUUCGUGGCUGU